rnacentral:rRNA from 1 species
UUCCCCUAGUAACGGCGAGUGAAGCGGGAAGAGCUCAAAUUUGUAAUCUGGCGGUCUCCGGCCGUCCGAGUUGUAGUCUGGAGAAGCGUUUUCCGUGCCGGACCGUGUACAAGUCCCCUGGAACGGGGCGUCGUAGAGGGUGAGAAUCCCGUCUCUGACACGGACCGCCGGUGCUCUGUGGUGCGCUCUCGAAGAGUCGAGUUGUUUGGGAAUGCAGCUCAAAAUGGGUGGUAAAUUCCAUCUAAAGCUAAAUAUUGGCGAAAGACCGAUAGCGAACAAGUACCGUGAGGGAAAGAUGAAAAGCACUUUGGAAAGAGAGUUAAACAGUACGUGAAAUUGUUGAAAGGGAAACGCUUGAAGUCAGUCGCGUCUUCCGAGACUCAGCCGGGGUCCUUUCCCCGGCGUACUUCUCGGUGUGACGGGCCAGCAUCGAUUUCGACCGUUCGAGAACGGCUCUGGGAACGUGGCACCUCCGGGUGUGUUAUAGCCCUCUGUCGUAUGGGACGGUCGGGAUCGAGGACCGCAGCGCGCCCUUCACCGGGCCGGGGUUCGCCCACGUAACGCGCUUAGGAUGCUGGCGUAAUGGCUUUAAGCGACCCGUCUUGAAACACGGACCAAGGAGUCUAACAUGCCCGCGAGUGUUUGGGUGGAAAACCCGAGCGCGUAAUGAAAGUGAUCAGGUCGGGACCUCUGUCGUGGAGUGCACCGACGCCCGGACCAGACCUUCCAGUGACGGUUCCGAGGCAGAGCGAGUACGUUGGGACCCGAAAGAUGGUGAACUAUGCCUGAGUAGGGUGAAGCCAGAGGAAACUCUGGUGGAGGCUCGUAGCGAUUCUGACGUGCAAAUCGAUCGUCGAACUUGGGUAUAGGGGCGAAAGACU